rnacentral:misc_RNA from 1 species
GAUGAAGAACGUAGCGAAACGCGAUAUGUAAUGUGAAUUGCAGAAUUCAGUGAAUCAUCGGAUCUUUGAACGCACAUGGCGCCUUCCAGUAUCCUGGGAGGCAUGCCUGUCCGAGCGUCGUUUCAACCCUCGAGCCCCCGUGGCCCGGCGUUGGGGAUCUGCCACGGCAGGCCCCUAAAACCAGUGGCGGACCCGAAGGCCCUCUCCUUUGCGCAGUAGCAUCAGCCUCGCAUUGGGAUCCCUCGGCGUCCUGCCUCUAAACCCCCCACAAGUCCGCUCCGGCGGCACCAAGGUUGACCUCGGAUCAGGUAGGAAUACCCGCUGAACUUAAGCAUAUCAAUAAGCGGAGGA